GACGAACGCUGGCGGCGUGCUUAACACAUGCAAGUCGUACGGUAAGGCCCUUUCGGGGGUACACGAGUGGCGAACGGGUGAGUAACACGUGAGUAACCUGCCCACAACUUUGGGAUAACGCUAGGAAACUGGUGCUAAUACUGGAUAUGUGCUCCUGCUGCAUGGUGGGGGUUGGAAAGCUCCGGCGGUUGUGGAUGGACUCGCGGCCUAUCAGCUUGUUGGUGGGGUAGUGGCCUACCAAGGCGGCGACGGGUAGUCGGCCUGAGAGGGUGACCGGCCACAUUGGGACUGAGAUACGGCCCAGACUCCUACGGGAGGCAGCAGUGGGGAAUAUUGCACAAUGGGCGCAAGCCUGAUGCAGCAACGCCGCGUGCGGGAUGACGGCCUUCGGGUUGUAAACCGCUUUCAGCAGGGACGAAGCUUUUUGUGACGGUACCUGCAGAAGAAGCACCGGCUAACUACGUG
rnacentral:rRNA from 1 species